AGCCUGAUGCAGCCAUGCCGCGUGUGUGAAGAAGGCCUUCGGGUUGUAAAGCAUUCAGCGAGGAGGAAAGGUUAGUGAUUAAUACUCACUAGCUGUGACGUUACUCGCAGAAGAAGCACCGGCUAACUUCGUGCCAGCAGCCGCGGUAAUACGAGGGGUGCAAGCGUUAAUCGGAAUUACUGGGCGUAAAGCGUACGCAGGCGGUUUGUUAAGCGAGAUGUGAAAGCCCCGGGCUCAACCUGGGAACUGCAUUUCGAACUGGCAAACUAGAGUCUUGUAGAGGGGGGUAGAAUUUCAGGUGUAGCGGUGAAAUGCGUAGAGAUCUGAAGGAAUACCGGUGGCGAAGGCGGCCCCCUGGACAAAGACUGACGCUCAGGUACGAAAGCGUGGGGAGCAAACAGGAUUAGAUACCCUGGUAGUCCACGCCGUAAACGAUGUCUACUCGGAUUUGGUGUCUUGAACACUGGGCUCUCAAGCUAACGCAUUAAGUAGACCGCCUGG
rnacentral:rRNA from 1 species